UACGUAGGGUGCGAGCGUUGUCCGGAAUUAUUGGGCGUAAAGAGCUUGUAGGCGGUUUGUCGCGUCUGCUGUGAAAAACCCGAGGCUCAACCUCGGGGCCUGCAGUGGGGUACGGGCAGACUAGAGUGCGGUAGGGGGAGAUUGGAAUUCCUGGUGUAGCGGUGGAAUGCGCAGAUAUCAGGAGGAACACCGAUGGCGAAGGCAGAUCUCUGGGCCGUAACUGACGCUGAGGAGCGAAAAGCAUGGGGAGCAAACAGG
rnacentral:rRNA from 1 species